rnacentral:tmRNA from 2 species
GGGGCUGCAAUGGCUUCGACGGGGGCAGGGAAACCUGAGAAGCGAGCCGCGGACGGGCGAACCGCGUCAACAACACCCAAACCUUAAAAAUAAACGCUAACGAUUACGAAUUAGCUGCUGCCUAAACAAGGCGGUAUGUCUCCCCUAUGAGGACCACGGCAUAGGCUGAGGCACAUAUCAGUGGUGAACGUGAGCGGUGAAGGUUCCGGUCAUCGCCAUGAACAAGGGACUACCGACGCCAUAGCCUUGGCUGUGAGGUUUUGGCGAAGGGAAUGUUAAACACAGCCUGCGCUCGGAGAAACUCGCGUGGAUCUGUUUUCGGACAGGAGUUCGAUUCUCCUCAGCUCCACCA